rnacentral:rRNA from 1 species
AUUGAACGCUGGCGGCAUGCCUUACACAUGCAAGUCGAACGGUAACGGGCCUUCGGGUGCCGACGAGUGGCGAACGGGUGAGUAAUGUAUCGGAACGUACCUUUCAGUGGGGGAUAACGUAGCGAAAGUUACGCUAAUACCGCAUAUUCUGUGAGCAGGAAAGCAGGGGAUCGCAAGACCUUGCGCUGAUUGAGCGGCCGAUAUCAGGUUAGCUAGUUGGUGCGGUAAAGGCUCACCAAGGCGACGAUCUGUAGCGGGUCUGAGAGGAUGAUCCGCCACACUGGAACUGAGACACGGUCCAGACUCCUACGGGAGGCAGCAGUGGGGAAUUUUGGACAAUGGGGGCAACCCUGAUCCAGCCAUGCCGCGUGAGUGAAGAAGGCCUUCGGGUUGUAAAGCUCUUUCGGCCGGGAAGAAAUCGUAUCAGCUAAUACCUGGUGCGGAUGACGGUACCGGCAUAAGAAGCACCGGCUAACUACGUGCCAGCAGCCGCCGUAACAC